rnacentral:rRNA from 1 species
CAUGGCUCAGGAUGAACGCUGGCGGCGUGCUUAACACAUGCAAGUCGAACGAUGAAGCCCAGCUUGCUGGGUGGAUUAGUGGCGAACGGGUGAGUAACACGUGAGUAACCUGCCCUUAACUCUGGGAUAAGCCUGGGAAACUAGGUCUAAUACCGGAUAGGAGCGCCCACCGCAUGGUGGGUGUUGGAAAGAUUUAUCGGUUUUGGAUGGACUCGCGGCCUAUCAGCUUGUUGGUGAGGUAAUGGCUCACCAAGGCGACGACGGGUAGCCGGCCUGAGAGGGUGACCGGCCACACUGGGACUGAGACACGGCCCAGACUCCUACGGGAGGCAGCAGUGGGGAAUAUUGCACAAUGGGCGCAAGCCUGAUGCAGCGACGCCGCGUGAGGGAUGACGGCCUUCGGGUUGUAAACCUCUUUCAGUAGGGAAGAAGCGAAAGUGACGGUACCUGCAGAAGAAGCACCGGCUAACUACGUGCCAGCAGCCGCGGUAAUACGUAGGGUGCGAGCGUUAUCCGGAAUUAUUGGGCGUAAAGAGCUCGUAGGCGGUUUGUCGCGUCUGUCGUGAAAGUCCGGGGCUUAACCCCGGAUCUGCGGUGGGUACGGGCAGACUAGAGUGCAGUAGGGGAGACUGGAAUUCCUGGUGUAGCGGUGGAAUGCGCAGAUAUCAGGAGGAACACCGAUGGCGAAGGCAGGUCUCUGGGCUGUAACUGACGCUGAGGAGCGAAAGCAUGGGGAGCGAACAGGAUUAGAUACCCUGGUAGUCCAUGCCGUAAACGUUGGGCACUAGGUGUGGGGACCAUUCCACGGUUUCCGCGCCGCAGCUAACGCAUUAAGUGCCCCGCCUGGGGAGUACGGCCGCAAGGCUAAAACUCAAAGGAAUUGACGGGGGCCCGCACAAGCGGCGGAGCAUGCGGAUUAAUUCGAUGCAACGCGAAGAACCUUACCAAGGCUUGACAUGUUCUCGAUCGCCGUAGAGAUACGGUUUCCCCUUUGGGGCGGGUUCACAGGUGGUGCAUGGUUGUCGUCAGCUCGUGUCGUGAGAUGUUGGGUUAAGUCCCGCAACGAGCGCAACCCUCGUUCCAUGUUGCCAGCACGUAAUGGUGGGGACUCAUGGGAGACUGCCGGGGUCAACUCGGAGGAAGGUGAGGACGACGUCAAAUCAUCAUGCCCCUUAUGUCUUGGGCUUAACGCAUGCUACAAUGGCCGGUACAAUGGGUUGCGAUACUGUGAGGU